rnacentral:rRNA from 1 species
AGUUUGAUCCUGGCUCAGGAUGAACGCUAGCUACAGGCUUAACACAUGCAAGUCGAGGGGAAACGACAUCGAAAGCUUGCUUUUGAUGGGCGUCGACCGGCGCACGGGUGAGUAACGCGUAUCCAACCUGCCCACCACUUGGGGAUAACCUUGCGAAAGUAAGACUAAUACCCAAUGACGUCUCUAGAAGACAUCCGAAGGAGAUUAAAGAUUUAUCGGUGAUGGAUGGGGAUGCGUCUGAUUAGCUUGUUGGCGGGGUAACGGCCCACCAAGGCGACGAUCAGUAGGGGUUCUGAGAGGAAGGUCCCCCACAUUGGAACUGAGACACGGUCCAAACUCCUACGGGAGGCAGCAGUGAGGAAUAUUGGUCAAUGGGCGAGAGCCUGAACCAGCCAAGUAGCGUGCAGGAUGACGGCCCUAUGGGUUGUAAACUGCUUUUAUAAGGGAAUAAAGUGAGUCUCGUGAGACUUUUUGCAUGUACCUUAUGAAUAAGGACCGGCUAAUUCCGUGCCAGCAGCCGCGGUAAUACGGAAGGUCCGGGCGUUAUCCGGAUUUAUUGGGUUUAAAGGGAGCGUAGGCCGGAGAUUAAGCGUGUUGUGAAAUGUAGACGCUCAACGUCUGCACUGCAGCGCGAACUGGUUUCCUUGAGUACGCACAAAGUGGGCGGAAUUCGUGGUGUAGCGGUGAAAUGCUUAGAUAUCACGAAGAACUCCGAUUGCGAAGGCAGCUCACUGGAGCGCAACUGACGCUGAAGCUCGAAAGUGCGGGUAUCGAACAGGAUUAGAUACCCUGGUAGUCCGCACGGUAAACGAUGGAUGCCCGCUGUUGGUCUGAAUAGGUCAGCGGCCAAGCGAAAGCAUUAAGCAUCCCACCUGGGGAGUACGCCGGCAACGGUGAAACUCAAAGGAAUUGACG